rnacentral:lncRNA from 1 species
UCAAUAGUUCUUUUUAGAGGUCAAUAAAAUGAACUAUGAAAUAAAAUUCAUUUCAAUAAGUUGGCCCACCAUAAUAACUCUACAGCCUCUCUCUUAUUGACACAUGGACAACAUUAUUUUUUACUUUUUAAUUUUUCCAUUACAUUUAAUUAGUGUAAACUAGCCGUUAUUUUUAUUUUUAUUUUUUUUAAGGCAACUAAUUUAUUUCACUGUUGAAAAAAACAAACAUCUAGUCACUGGCGGACCCAAUACAUGCCUACUGUGGGCAACUACCCACACUUAGGUGGUUUCUUC